CUUUUUCUUCACUCCAGCCAUCUGCUAACAAGAAAAGAAAGGCAAAUAUCUUGGGAAUAAGAACCCAGUUGGGAUAAAUAUUCCAGGAUGCUUUGAAUGUCAAGGCCUGCCUUCCAAGUUUACCUUGCUUCCUGUGAGCCUUGAAAAACCGAAAAUAAGCUUUGGAAGAGAUGCCAAGUAGAAGUUUGCAUGGGGAGAAGAUACUAGUGAGAACGAAGCAUAUAAAACUGGGCCCAGGACUAUGAUAGGAAGAAGUCAAAUUAAAGAGAAGGUACAGAGUAGGAAAUGUAUUAGUAACGUGUGAAAGCAUUUGGAGCCUGCAGCCAAGAAGAGGGAGAGAGAGGGAAAGAAGGGGAAGAAAAGCAAAGAGCUCAGAAGAGGAAAUGGAAAUGAGAAGUGGUUAAGGAUAUAAUGCCAACUGGCCAUGAAAAGAAGCUGGAA
rnacentral:lncRNA from 1 species